AUUGAACGCUGGCGGCAGGCUUAACACAUGCAAGUCGAGCGGUAACAUUUCUAGCUUGCUAGAAGAUGACGAGCGGCGGACGGGUGAGUAAUACUUAGGAAUCUACCUAGUAGUGGGGGAUAGCUCGGGGAAACUCGAAUUAAUACCGCAUACGACCUACGGGAGAAAGGGGGCAACUUGUUGCUCUCGCUAUUAGAUGAGCCUAAGUCGGAUUAGCUAGAUGGUGGGGUAAAGGCCUACCAUGGCGACGAUCUGUAGCUGGUCUGAGAGGAUGAUCAGCCACACCGGGACUGAGACACGGCCCGGACUCCUACGGGAGGCAGCAGUGGGGAAUAUUGGACAAUGGGGGAAACCCUGAUCCAGCCAUGCCGCGUGUGUGAAGAAGGCCUUUUGGUUGUAAAGCACUUUAAGCAGUGAAGAAGACUCUUCGGUUAAUACCCGGAGACGAUGACAUUAGCUGCAGAAUAAGCACCGGCUAACUCUGUGCCAGCAGCCGCGGUAAUACAGAGGGUGCAAGCGUUAAUCGGAAUUACUGGGCGUAAAGCGAGCGUAGGUGUCUUGAUAAGUCAGAUGUGAAAUCCCCGGCUUAACCUGGGAACUGCAUCUGAUACUGUUAGGCUAGAGUAAGUGAGAGGAAGGUAGAAUUCCAGGUGUAGCGCUGAAAUGCGUAGAGGAUCUGGAGGGAUACCGAUAGGCGAAGGCAGCCUUCCUGGAUCAUACUCGACACUGAGGCUCGAAAGCGCGGGUAGCCAACAGG
rnacentral:rRNA from 1 species